rnacentral:rRNA from 1 species
AGAGUUUGAUCCUGGCUCAGAUUGAACGCUGGCGGCAUGCCUUACACAUGCAAGUCGAACGGCAGCACGGAGCUUGCUCUGGUGGCGAGUGGCGAACGGGUGAGUAAUAUAUCGGAACGUACCCUAGAGUGGGGGAUAACGUAGCGAAAGUUACGCUAAUACCGCAUACGAUCUACGGAUGAAAGUGGGGGAUCGCAAGACCUCAUGCUCAUGGAGCGGCCGAUAUCUGAUUAGCUAGUUGGUAGGGUAAAAGCCUACCAAGGCAUCGAUCAGUAGCUGGUCUGAGAGGACGACCAGCCACACUGGAACUGAGACACGGUCCAGACUCCUACGGGAGGCAGCAGUGGGGAAUUUUGGACAAUGGGCGAAAGCCUGAUCCAGCAAUGCCGCGUGAGUGAAGAAGGCCUUCGGGUUGUAAAGCUCUUUUGUCAGGGAAGAAACGGUUGUCUCUAAUACAGAUGGCUAAUGACGGUACCUGAAGAAUAAGCACCGGCUAACUACGUGCCAGCAGCCGCGGUAAUACGUAGGGUGCAAGCGUUAAUCGGAAUUACUGGGCGUAAAGCGUGCGCAGGCGGUUAUGUAAGACAGAUGUGAAAUGCCCGGGCUUAACCUGGGAACUGCAUUUGUGACUGCAUGGCUAGAGUUUGGCAGAGGGGGGUAGAAUUCCACGUGUAGCAGUGAAAUGCGUAGAUAUGUGGAGGAACACCGAUGGCGAAGGCAGCCCCCUGGGUCAAGACUGACGCUCAUGCACGAAAGCGUGGGGAGCAAACAGGAUUAGAUACCCUGGUAGUCCACGCCCUAAACGAUGUCUACUAGUUGUCGGGUCUUAAUUGACUUGGUAACGCAGCUAACGCGUGAAGUAGACCGCCUGGGGAGUACGGUCGCAAGAUUAAAACUCAAAGGAAUUGACGGGGACCCGCACAAGCGGUGGAUGAUGUGGAUUAAUUCGAUGCAACGCGAAAAACCUUACCUACCCUUGACAUGGCUGGAAUCCUUGAGAGAUUGAGGAGUGCUCGAAAGAGAACCAGUACACAGGUGCUGCAUGGCUGUCGUCAGCUCGUG